rnacentral:lncRNA from 1 species
UAAAAUAUGGGCAACAAACACAAGUUAGAGAUCUUGAUUAGUGAAUCAAGCUUCUACAACUUGCCAUGCCAAAAAAAGAUGAGAAAUGAUCUUGUAUUGAUUUAGGUUUUUUGCUUGAUUAGAAAACAACCUAUCCUUAAUGCAAAGCCAUUCACUUGAUCUAUGAUCAAGAUGAAUUAGAUUUGAAUCAAGAAAGGUUAAAC